AGUGAACGCUGGCGGUAGGCCUAACACAUGCAAGUCGAACGGCAGCACAGUAAGAGCUUGCUCUUACGGGUGGCGAGUGGCGGACGGGUGAGGAAUACAUCGGAAUCUACUUUUUCGUGGGGGAUAACGUAGGGAAACUUACGCUAAUACCGCAUACGACCUACGGGUGAAAGCAGGGGAUCUUCGUACCUUGCGCGAUUGAAUUAGCCGAUGUCGGAUUAGCUAGUUGGCGGGGUAAAGGCCCACCAAGGCGACGAUCCGUAGCUGGUCUGAGAGGAUGAUCAGCCACACUGGAACUGAGACACGGUCCAGACUCCUACGGGAGGCAGCAGUGGGGAAUAUUGGACAAUGGGCGCAAGCCUGAUCCAGCCAUACCGCGUGGGUGAAGAAGGCCUUCGGGUUGUAAAGCCCUUUUGUUGGGAAAGAAAAGCAGCAGGUUAAUACCCCGCUGUUCUGACGGUACCCAAAGAAUAAGCACCGGCUAACUUCGUG
rnacentral:rRNA from 1 species